GGGGUGCUCGAGUGGCGAACGGGUGAGUAACACGUGAGUAACCUGCCCUUGACUUUGGGAUAACUUCAGGAAACUGGGGCUAAUACCGGAUAGGAGCUCCUGCUGCAUGGUGGGGUUGGAAAGUUUCGGCGGUUGGGGAUGGACUCGCGGCUUAUCAGCUUGUUGGUGGGGUAGUGGCUUACCAAGGCUUUGGCGGGUAGCCGGCCUGAGAGGGUGACCGGCCACAUUGGGACUGAGAUACGGCCCAG
rnacentral:rRNA from 1 species